GGAAGACGCCCGAUGGAGGGGGAUAACUACUGGAAACGGUAGCUAAUACCGCAUAACGUCGCAAGACCAAAGAGGGGGACCUUGGGCCUCUUGCCAUCGGAUGUGCCCAGAUGGGAUUAGCUAGUAGGUGGGGUAACGGCUCACCUAGGCGACGAUCCCUAGCUGGUCUGAGAGGAUGACCAGCCACACUGGAACUGAGACACGGUCCAG
rnacentral:rRNA from 1 species